CACGCCAGAGAGCGUGCACGUUGCUCUCGGCGCCGCCGAGCAACUGAGUGACGGAGCUUUCUCCUAAGACAGUCACUUCCUACGUGUAUAUCGUCUGCCGGGACGUUAAAACCCCAGGACGGUUUUUGAGAUCUCGCGAAUACGCUUCAUUCCACACUUUUGUCACGUUUGCCGAUCAACCAUCUGAUGUCCUGCUACCUUCUUCGCAGAGAGGCAGUGAUGGCGCCUAACUGAGUGGAAACAGUCGCCUGCAGCCAUGGGGACCUGAGGGAAGCCACCGCAGCCGCCUACACCAGCAGCAAGGACCAAUGAGGCCUUGCGAUGGGCCAGUCCCGGCUCUGGCUGCAGAGGUCGCUGCUGCUGCUGGUGGCCGCGCUGCUCGGCUGCCUGACGCCCGCCAAGCCAGAGGACGGCGCGACCACGAGAAAG